GACGCAAUGUGAUUUCUGCCCAGUGCUCUGAAUGUCAAAGUGAAGAAAUUCAAUCAAGCGCGGGUAAACGGCGGGAGUGACUACGACUCUCUUAGACGGGCCGCUUGAUGAUGGUGUGCUGGACUGAGAGACAAACCUGAGCGUGGCGUGGGCAGACCAGCCUGCUGUUACUUGGUGGACAUGCAGGUUAGGCCACUGCCACCUCGAGAUGGUGAAACUAUGCUAUGUUGAGGCAGAAGCUUGGCCGAAGCUUGGAUGACUGUUCAGUAAUGGCGGCUGGAUGCCGGGGGGCUCCAGUUCGAAAAAUGGCUCCACUACUGGGGAAACCUGGUAGAGGGUGAACAUUACUGAUCAGGAUUCCGGGCUAAAGCUUUGCUUCUAGUGCGGAUGAUUGUGAGGAUUGUUCUGCCUUCGGAUUGGGUGGCCCCCCGCACCCGGUUCGGUCUGGUGGUUCGAUUCUCACCGGAGGGAUCCUUGCUCCGUAGGUACGCCCUUGGAGUAGGGGGAACUUCGCUCGAAUUGAAACACGGAUCAGGAUCGGGCCUGCACGCGCUAUGGUCGGGUGCGGCUCGAACUCUAACAUACUUUCAUUUAGCUGGUCUCCGCUUAGGCGGGUCCGGGUUUCGAUUCGGAUGUUGAUGAUCGCAGGGUAAAGGCGCGAUGGCAGAGCUGGCUCGUCUUGGCGACGCCGGAGUGCUUAUCCCUGUCUGACAGUGUUGGUGCCUCCAAGUGGCGAGAGUCGGGCAACGGUGCGGUCGAGUGCGAUGUAUAUAUGUACUUUUUUAUUCUGUUUAUCUUUUAUUUUCACUUUAUUAACUUUUUUCUAACUUUAAUUUUAAUCGUUCUGGUAUUGUUACCUUUAUAUUUCUCAUUAUUAUUAUUAUUACUUACAUCGUACUCGGUCGUAGCGGCUAAAUCCCACUGUCUAAUCAGCUAGUUCCGGGUUAGCUCCCCGGUUCUGGCUUUGUGUCAUCCACAGGCUCCGAAGACUACUAAGAAAAAUUCGAACUCGGCCACUGCCGAGUCGCAGGGUGACACCUGCACCUCCCGAAAGGGGGUCAGGGUGCCAGUUGGAGCUGUCCGGAUUGUGAGAGAGCGUUUUCGACCAAGACGGGGCUUGGAGUCCACCGCAGGGCUCGGCACCCUAGUAGUUUCCAUCAGCAGAAGUGUGAGGAAGUUGAGAAGCAGAGUAAGAGACGGUGGACGGAUGAGGAGAAGCAUAUCCUAGCUAGAGCUGAGGCAGGGUUUAGCGGAGCCGAGGCAGGUAUUAAUGACUUAUUAGUAGCAGCAAAUAUUCUUCCGGGAAGGACUAAGGAGAGCAUUAAGGGGGCCAGAAAGGCGGCAGCUUAUAAGCUCUUGGUUGAGAAAUUUAGAGAGGAGCGUAGUACCGAGCUUGCGGGUCAGAGUGAGAGUGCUGGUACUAGGGACGUGGAGGAGAGUACGGCUAUUAGUGCUAGCGUUGGUAGUGAGAGUAGCCAGCAGAUGGAGUCCAGACCGGAAUUAACUACAAAACCCAAAAAAACUAAUAUAAAGUACAGAAAAAAUCCAAAAAAAGAUGACAGAGUAGGCAACGCAGGUCCGUCCUCCUCCAUGGGGUCCGGGGCUUGCUCUCCAAGGUUGGAAGGUAUCCCGGAGGUCGGGUCCGAAGAGGUGAAUAAGGUAGAGGCAGAGGCUAGCAGAGGUAUUAAUAGGAAAGCGGUAGAGUGGGUUCUUAGUAUCGAGCCGGUUAAGGGCUAUGAGAAGCAGUGCAGUGAGAUUAGAUUAGCGAUCGAAGGUGAGAAGUGGGUUGAGUGUAGUGAGCUCGUUGAGGCGUGUUUCCUUAGCUAUCGUGAUGAGAAGAAAAGUAACGCCAAGAGGCCAGUUAGAAAGAAGGCAGUUAAGAGAGAGCUGAAGAAUAGAGAGAAGCGCAGAAGAGCGUAUGGAGAGAUGCAGAGAAUUUAUAGUAAGGAUAGGAAGAAAGCAGCGGCUGCUGUUUUUAGUGGCGCGUGGAGGUUGUGGAGUGAGCCUAGAGAGGAGAAUAAGCAGUUUGAAGAUCAGAAGAUGGAGUAUUGGAAGAGAGUUUUGGGCAGGGAGUCUGACCCGGAUGGUCGUCCGGUUAAGCCUCUGAGGGAGCCAGCUGUUGAGAUCGAGGAGCCGAUUAGUCUAGCAGAGUGCAAGAAAGCGCUGAGAGACCUUAAGCAGACAGCUUCGGGACCAGAUGGCGUUAGCUGGAAUAGUGUGAAGAGCUUGGGUCCAGGUUGGCUUCAGUACCUUUUUAAUUCCAUCUUGGCGUGCGGGUAUCCUACAAAAUCUUUUAAAAAUUCGCGCACAGUGCUGAUUCCUAAGACAGAAAAACCUAGUGACCCGGGAGAGUUUAGGCCCUUAGCGAUUGCUAGUGUUUUUGGCAGAGUCUUUCAUAGAAUCUUAGCUAGUAGGUUGGGAGUCUGGGCGCCGUUAGGAGCGAGUCAACGAGCCUUUCAGGUUGGGAUCGAUGGUGUCUCUAUGAACCAUCUCAUCUUAG
rfam:Macrostomum lignano uti_cns_0048321, whole genome shotgun sequence.